GCUUGUCUCAAAGAUUAAGCCAUGCAUGUCUAAGUAUAAACACCUUUAUACUGUGAAACUGCGUACAGCUCAUUAAAUCAGUAAUAAUUUAUUUGAUGGUGACUUACUACAUGGAUAACCGUAGUAAUUCUAGAGCUAAUACAUGCACAAAAUCCCGACUUACGAAGGGAUGUAUUUAUUAGAUACAAACCAACAUCGUGGUGAUUCAUAAUAACUUUGCGAAUCGUAUGCCUCACGGCGACGAUGAAUCAUUCAAAUUUCUGCCCUAUCAGCUUUGGAUGGUAGGGUAUUGGCCUACCAUGGCUUUAACGGGUAACGGAGAAUUAGGGUUCGAUUCCGGAGAGGGAGCCUGAGAAAUGGCUACCACAUCCAAGGAAGGCAGCAGG
rnacentral:rRNA from 1 species